CUGGUUGAUCCUGCCAGUAGUCAUAUGCUUGUCUCAAAGACUAAGCCAUGCAUGUCUAAGUAUAAAUGUUAUACAGUGAAACUGCGAAUGGCUCAUUAAAACAGUUAUAGUUUAUUUGAUAAUCGAAUUUACAUGGAUAACCGUGGUAAUUCUAGAGCUAAUACAUGCUGUUAAGCCUGACUUUUGAGGAAGGGCUGUAUUUAUUAGAUAACAAACCAAUAUUCUUCGUGUCUAUUGUGACGACUCAUAAUAACUGAUCGAAUCGCAUGGUCUUUGACCGCGAUACAUCAUUCAAGUUUCUGCCCCAUCAGCUUUCGAUGGUAGUGUAUUGGACUACCAUGGCUUUAACGGGUAACGGAGGAUUAGGGUUCGAUUCCGGAGAGGGAGCCUGAGAAACGGCUACCACAUCUAAGGAAGGCAGCAGGCGCGUAAAUUACCCAAUCCUGAUUCAGGGAGGUAGUGACAAGAAAUAACGGACCGAAGCCUAUGUUUCGGGAUUGCAAUGAGUAGAAUUUAAACCCCUUUACAAGGAUCAAUUGGAGGGCAAGUCUGGU
rnacentral:rRNA from 1 species